rnacentral:tRNA from 48 species
GCACCCGUAGCUCAGCUGGAUAGAGCGCUGCCCUCCGAAGGCAGAGGUCACACGUUCGAAUCGUGUCGGGUGCGCCA